rnacentral:rRNA from 1 species
CAGUGGGAGUACUCCUUCUAAGCUAAAUAUGACCAUGAGACCGAUAGCGAACAAGUACCGUGAGGGAAAGUUGAAAAGCACUCUGAAUAGAGAGUCAAAUAGUACGUGAAACUGCCUAGGGGUACAAACCCGUUGAACUCAAUUGACCGGGGCGACGAUAUUCACCUGCGCGUCCGGCCGCUUGCGGCCCGGGCCACAGGGCACUUAUCGUUCGCAGCGUACGGACAUCGCGAUCCAUUACGAACGUGCCGUAGGUGCGCAAGCGCCUAAGCAUAUCCAACACCAGGUCCCUGGUUCGUGUUGUCGGCCCUCCAGUAGUGGCGCUUAGCUUCGCAAGAACGCCCGCACCACAACCGAGGGUUCCGGGGCUCCGGCCCCGGGCUCGACCGAGCUUCGGUGUACCGUUGGAAGCGUGAUGGACUCACACGGAAUACGGGCAGACGGUAGCGCAUGCUUCGGCAUGCUCCGGCAUCUAGCUACGGGCCACCGCUCUCCCGAUCGGCGAUGAGAAACACUGAUUGAGGUACCUCCGGGACCCGUCUUGAAACACGGACCAGAAAUUCACAA